UUGAGCCGUGUGCGGUGUGAGUCGCACGCACGGUUCUGAGGGGGGACUGGGGUAGCAAUACCCUAGUUCUACCCGGC
rnacentral:ncRNA from 1 species